rnacentral:rRNA from 1 species
GACGAACGCUGGCGGCGUGCUUAACACAUGCAAGUCGAACGGAAACGCCUUGCUUUUGUGGUGUGCUCGAUUGGCGAACGGGUGAGUCACCCGUUAGUAACUUCCCCUUGCCUUUGGGAUACCUUCAGGAACCUGGGGCUAAUAUCAGAAAGGAGCUUCUGCUGUAUGUUGGGGGUUGGCACUUUUCGGCGGUUGGGGAUGGACUCGCGGCUUCUUGUCUUGUUGGUGCGGUAGUGGCUUACCAAGGCGUUGACGGGUAUCCGGCCUGAUUAGGUGACCGGCCACAUUGGGACAGAGAUACGGCCCAGACGCCUACGGGAGGCAGCGGUGGGGAAUAGUGCACAAUGAGCGGAAGCCUAAUGCAGCAACGCCGCGUGCGGGAUGACGGCCUUCGGGUUGUAAACCGCUUUAGCCUGUGACGAAGCGUGAUUGACGGUAAUGGGUAAAGAAGCACCGGCUAACUACGUG